AUGGCAUAUUGCCAAUUGACUAACGAAUUUGGACUUCCUCAAGUGUUGGACGACUUGGAUGCCCAAUCAGUCGUUUUGAUUGUUCUUCACUCGCUGCAUACCCAACCACCUCAGAUUUACGGCUCCUGUUGGUAUUUAAUGUUCCCAUCCAUUUCAUACGAACCAAUUCUGAAGUUUUGUAUCUUUGGUUCAUAUGUAGAUUUAAUUUUGCUUGAUGAAUACACUGAAUUGCAAUUUAAUUCUUUGCCUAAUCCAAAUCUGAAUUUAAUUUCGCUUGAAAUAUGUAGCCUUCCAUUUCAAUUCUUCAGGUUUCUUCUUGGCUACAUUGGGGUCGAGCCGCCGUUGUCUCACACGCUCCAAUCUGAAGGUAUACACAUAGCUCGCUUCAGAUUGUGUGAAGAUUACUAUUCAUUUUCUGACUAUAAGUGUUUUUCAGCGUUUGUGGGAACGUUACUAUUCAGUGUGCAACUAUAUGCAAAUUUAUAUUUCAGUUUCCGAGCGUUUGUGGGAAGAUUACUAUUCAGUGUGUGA
rnacentral:rRNA from 1 species